GACGAACGCUGGCGGCGUGCUUAACACAUGCAAGUCGAACGGAAAGGCCCCUUUGGGGGUACUCGAGUGGCGAACGGGUGAGUAACACGUGAGUAACCUGCCCUUGACUUCGGGAUAACUUCAGGAAACUGGGGCUAAUACCGGAUAGGAAUCCUUGCUGCAUGGUGGGGGUUGGAAAGCUUCGGCGGUUUUGGAUGGACUCGCGGCUUAUCAGCUUGUUGGUGGGGUAGUGGCUUACCAAGGCUUUGACGGGUAGCCGGCCUGAGAGGGCGACCGGCCACAUUGGGACUGAGAUACGGCCCAGACUCCUACGGGAGGCAGAAGUGGGGAAUAUUGCACAAUGGGCGGAAGCCUGAUGCAGAAACGCCGCGUGCGGGAUGACGGCCUUCGGGUUGUAAACCGCUUUCAGCAGGGGCGAAGCUUGUGGUGACGGUACCUGCAGAAGAAGCACCGGCUAACUACGUG
rnacentral:rRNA from 1 species